AGAGUUUGAUUCUGGCUCAGAACGAACGCUGGCGGCAGGCUUAACACAUGCAAGUCGAACGAUAUAGUGGCAGACGGGUGAGUAACGCGUGAAAACGUGCCUUUCACUACGGAAUAGCUUUUGGAAACGAAAGGUAAUACCGUAUACGCCCUCCGGGGGAAAGAUUUAUCGGUGAAAGAUCGGUCCGCGUUAGAUUAGCUAGUUGGUGAGGUAAUGGCUCACCAAGGCGACGAUCUAUAGCUGGUUUGAGAGGAUGAUCAGCCACACUGGGACUGAGACACGGCCCAGACUCCUACGGGAGGCAGCAGUGGGGAAUCUUGCACAAUGGGCGAAAGCCUGAUGCAGCCAUGCCGCGUGAAUGAUGAAGGCCCUAGGGUUGUAAAAUUCUUUCGCCAGGGAUGAUAAUGACAGUACCUGGUAAAGAAGCACCGGCUAACUUCGUGCCAGCAGCCGCGGUAAUACGAAGGGUGCUAGCGUUGUUCGGAAUUACUGGGCGUAAAGCGUGCGUAGGCGGACUUUUAAGUCAGAUGUGAAAUCCCGAGGCUCAACCUCGGAACUGCAUUUGAAACUGGAAGUCUAGAGACAAGGAGAGGUUAGUGGAAUACCGAGUGUAGAGGUGAAAUUCGUAGAUAUUCGGUGGAACACCAGUGGCGAAGGCGACUAACUGGACUUGUACUGACGCUGAGGCACGAAAGUGUGGGGAGCAAACAGGAUUAGAUACCCUGGUAGUCCACACCGUAAACGAUGAGAGCUAGUUGUCGGCAUGUAUACAUGUCGGUGACGCAGCUAACGCAUUAAGCUCUCCGCCUGGGGAGUACGGCCGCAAGGUUAAAACUCAAAGAAAUUGACGGGGGCCCGCACAAGCGGUGGAGCAUGUGGUUUAAUUCGACGCAACGCGCAGAACCUUACCUACGCUUGACAUGCCCUGUUUGGUUACCAGAGAUGGUAUCCUUCAUUUAGUUGGCAGGUGCACAGGUGCUGCAUGGCUGUCGUCAGCUCGUGUCGUGAGAUGUUGGGUUAAGUCCCGCAACGAGCGCAACCCUCAUCCUUAGUUGCCAUCAGGUUUGGCUGGGCACUCUAAGGAAACUGCCGGUGGCAAGCCGGAGGAAGGUGGGGAUGACGUCAAGUCCUCAUGGCCCUUACGCGUAGGGCUACACACGUGCUACAAUGGUGGCUACAAUGGGAUAAUCCCCAAAAGCCAUCUCAGUUCGGAUUGUCGUCUGCAACUCGACGGCAUGAAGUUGGAAUCGCUAGUAAUCGUGGAUCAGCAUGCCACGGUGAAUACGUUCCCGGGCCUUGUACACACCGCCCGUCACAUCAUGGGAGUUGGUUCUACCCGAAGAUCGUGCGCUAACUUCGGAGGCAGCGAGCCAUGGUAGGAUCAGCGACUGGGAUGAAGUCGAAACAAGGUA
rnacentral:rRNA from 1 species